GACAGGGGAUGCAAGCGUUACUCGGAAUUACUGGGCGUAAAGCGUCUGCAGGUUUCUCAUCAGGUCUGGUGUAGAAGCACAGGAGCUCAACUCCGUGUACGUGCCGGAAACCAAUGAGAUCGAGUCAUUCAGAGGCAUCUGGAAUGUCGUGUGUAGGGGUAAAAUCCGUAGAUCCACGAUGGAACGCCAAAAGCGAAGGCAGGAUGCUGGGGAUGUACUGACACUCAGAGACGAAAGCGUGGGGAGCGAAGGGG
rnacentral:rRNA from 1 species